rnacentral:rRNA from 1 species
AUGCUGAAUUUGCUUCCACCUUGCUGGAUACGUACAUUCAAGGGGGGAAAUGUGAAAGAAUCGAGCUCGUCCAUACUCAAGAAUAGGGAAACAUUGUUCCUGAAACAACAGAUGCCAUUGAUUUUCUGUUGGAUGUAUCAAUUGCUACACAUGAUAAAGAUAAAAGGUGUCGAAUUCAAGUUAAACUCUUUUCUGCUGCACAUUUUCUUUUGGUGUCAUAUGUGGAGUGAAAUUAGGUUUGUUGGGUAUCGAUCAUUCAUUGAAAAUUGCUACUGCUGUAAUGUUUCCACGCAUGACUGA